AGAAAAUGUUGGGACAAAAACCUCCUGCCAAGACCAACAAACAAUCGGAGAACUCCAGUUCAGUGUGGAAGUGGACAUCAGUCAUCGGCGGGGUCACCAUAGCGAUUGUUGCCAUGGGGAUUACAGCAUACAGACACUUGCAACACUGAAUACCUUUUGAAUUUAAAAGCAGAGUAACUUGCUACCAAUGAUAACUUGUUUGCCAUAAUAAAGGGCUUUGACCUGUAGCAUUUAUUUUAGGGGGGGGGUGCCAGUUUUUAAACUAAUCUAAACGUGAACAUGUUUUCUUGACUAAAGAUGUUUUUUGGUUGAUUUUGACAAUUUUUUAGAGUGUAAAUUUUGUUUUCAAUUGGUAAAAAUGUUUUUUGUUGUUGUAUAUUGGAGUAUUGUUAUAAAACUUUCAACACGAUGGAAAGAAUUUAUCUUCAAGUAUUGUAAAAAGACGUUCCAAAAAUUAUUUUGUGUUUAAAUUUGUUCAGACAUAAUCUUUUUCUUUUUGUAAAAAUAUUUUAUUAUAUAAUGUAGACUAUAAAUAUUUGUUGCAAGCAUGUUAAUAAAGUGAUUAUUU
rnacentral:misc_RNA from 1 species